GGAUGCAAGGGCGAUGUAGCUGUGACAUCCGUCAUUGCAUUGGUCACCAGGGUUGAUUCAGCCUAUGUGGCUGGUUAGGCCAGUGUCCCCAUCUUCCCUCACCUCUCAAUGUGCUUUCCUUCUGAAGCUGUAUGCUGGGUCAAGAGGACAACCACCACCCAGAGGACCGUUUCCUCCAUAAAGGUAUACAAAUAGCUGCACUCCCCUGUUAGAACCUCCAAACAAACUCAGGGAAACAUUCCUGUGUACUAGUUCUCUUGUCAUAUUUUAAACAAACUAUCUGAUUCUCAGAACAUCUUU
ensembl:misc_RNA 7SK 7SK RNA